rnacentral:rRNA from 1 species
UACGUAGGGUGCAAGCGUUGUCCGGAAUUAUUGGGCGUAAAGAGCUCGUAGGCGGUCUGUCACGUCGGCUGUGAAAACCCGAGGCUCAACCUCGGGCCUGCAGUCGAUACGGGCAAACUAGAGUACUGCAGGGAGACUGGAAUUCCUGGUGUAGCGGUGAAAUGCGCAGAUAUCAGGAGGAACACCGGUGGCGAAGGCGGGUCUCUGGGCG